rnacentral:rRNA from 1 species
UAUGGUGGUAUUGCCGAGGGUGUUCACCUCUUCCCAUUCCGAACAGAGAAGUUAAGCCCCUCAUGGCCGAUGGUACUGGUAUCAUUCCGGGAGAGUAGGUAGCUGCCAUAU